GGCUUUGUAGCUCAGCUGGUAGAGCGGUCGCCGCAUUUGGGUAUAAUGUAUCUAUCGCUGAUUCGAAUCCAGCCAAAACCU